UACGUAGGGGGCAAGCGUUGUCCGGAAUCAUUGGGCGUAAAGCGCGCGUAGGCGGCCCUGUAAGUCCGCUGUGAAAGUCAAAGGCUCAACCUUUGAAAGCCGGUGGAUACUGCAGGGCUAGAGUCCGGAAGAGGCGAGUGGAAUUCCUGGUGUAGCGGUGGAAUGCGCAGAUAUCAGGAAGAACACCCGUGGCGAAGGCGGCUCUCUGGGACGGUACUGACGCUGAGACGCGAAAGCGUGGGGAGCGAACAGG
rnacentral:rRNA from 1 species